rnacentral:rRNA from 1 species
UACGGAGGUUGCGAGCGUUGUUCGGAAUGACUGGGCGUAAAGGGAGCGCAGGCGGUUUGGCAAGUCUAAAGUGGAAGCCCGGGGCUUAACCUCGGAAGUGCUUUGGAUACUGCCUGACUUGAGUUCGUGAGAGGAAAGCGGAAUUCCAGGUGUAGCGGUGAAAUGCGUAGAUAUCUGGAGGAACACCGGUGGCGAAAGCGGCUUUCUGGCACGAUACUGACGCUGAGGCUCGAAAGCAUGGGGAGCGAACAGGAUUAGAAACCCGUGUAGUCC